CUUUAUUAUGAAAGAUUGAUGCCUCUUUGAAGCAAUCAUAUGCCUUUUAUGCUGCAUUUGAUGGAAUUCCAGGGCUACAGGCAUCUGGAGCAUAUAUAUUUUCCAUCCAAAUGGUAAAUAUUCUAUUGGCUCUCAGAAGCAGAUUCGUGACGAUAGAGUUGAGUGGGAUCUUGAAGUGAAUCAACUUAUUGCAUGAAACUGUUAUCCUUUUGUAGUGGAAAUAAUGGCUAUUAUUACAAAUUUCCUCA